ensembl:lncRNA
UAAGGCAGGUGCUCUGCUCUCGCCGCUGCCGGUUGCCGCUUGGCCGCAGCCCUGCCUUCACGCCUUGCAGCUGCCGGGCACGGGAGGAGCUGAUUCCCUGCCGGUGACCGCGGUGUCCCACCGAGCCGUGCCACGCCGGGGAAAUGGGGCUGUGCGGGGUCUGCUUCCCUGCGGCAAUUCUCGUCCUCGCAGCCGCAGGGGUCCGGAGCCGGCAGGCGGGUGAGUGAGGACAUCCCCGUGUCCGGGGAGGUGUCCCACCGUGGGGCGCGCGUGUCCCCGUGGGAGAUGCCGCGCUCCAGCCCGCUCAGCCGGCAUCCCACGUAGCCCGGCUGGGUCUCCGUGCUCUGCCCCGCAGGACCGUGCACCCUCCACGCGCUGGUGGCCCUGGAUGUCACCGACUACCAGCAAUCCAACCUGCAGCCCUACCUGGAGCGGGUCCUGCGGGACCUGACCGCGCUGGACCACCUCACCUGCAGCCCGCUCAACCUGAGCCUCAGCCUGCAGAGCACACAGCGGGAAGGGGAAACCCUCUUCCAGGAGCGGCUGCGGGAGCCCUGGAUGGACGUGCUGCAACGCCUGGCACGGGCGCACGCUUUCCAGCGCUCCUACCUCAACCAGCUCGCCCUGCAGAGCUUCCUCGGCACCCUGGCACGGCAGGCGGCUGAUGCCAAGGUAGAGCACCGGCACAGGCGUGCCCAUCGCUCCCCACGCGCUCCCGCUCUUGGGGGCUGCUGUAGAGCACCGGACCCCUCCUCUCCUUGCCCAGGUGCUGCUGGUGUUCACGGAUGGGCUGGACGAUGACGCGGGGAAGAUGAAGGAGGCGGCAACGUUGGCUUGGCUGCAAGGUGGGACGGCGACGGCUGCGUGGGGCUCGGAUGGGUGAGCCCUGUGAGUGGGGAAAGCUGGCGGGGACCGGGGGGGGGGCCACCCGGCACAGUGUGACACCCCGCAACACCCCGUCCCCUCCAGACCAGGCUGACCUGCUGGUGACGGUGGCGGUGAACAACGUCACGGGGCUGGGGGACCUGCGGCAGAUGGAGUUUGGGAGAUGGCUGGCGAGCGGGCAGCACCUCACCGUGGACAUGCCGGAGGUCGGCGGGCACGUGGCGCAGGAGCUGGUGAGGAUGGGUUGUGGUGGGACGGGUGGCGGGGGUCCCGCGGGCUCUGAGCGGGGUUGCCACCCUCUCCCCACAGCUGGCCCUGGCAGAACGGACGUGUUGCCAGAUGUGUCCCUGCACCUGCGUGGGGCUGCCCGGUCCACGAGGCCCCGGUGGCCCCCACGGGGGGAAGGGGGUGACGGGCAGCAAGGGGCGUGCUGGAGACGAGGGCGAGCAUGGACACAGCGUGAGUUGGCCGUGGGACCCCCAGGGGUAGGAGAGGGUGGCCCCGUGGGUAAGGGGACCCCCGUCACCGCGUUGCCUCUGAUGGCCCCCCCUCCCCUCCCGAGUGCAGGGGGAGCAGGGACCGCGAGGUCUCCACGGCAGCCGAGGGAUGCAGGGAUGCCCAGGGCAGUAUGGACCGAAGGUGAGGGGCUGUCCCAGCCCGGCGUGGCUCUGUCCCGCAGCGAGGGUGCCCACCGCUCCCCGGCUGCUCUCCUUUGUCUCUUUGCAGGGCUUCAUGGGUCACCCCGGGGAGCAGGUACGUCCCUGCCUCGUGGUUUAUCCUGCGGCUCCUGCGGGCACCGAUGGUGGCCAAGGCCACGGACAGCUGGCAGCGGCAUGGAGACCUCGAGGACGGGCAGGGAAGAGAGGGAUGCGGGGAGGGGAAUGGGAGAUGGUCAUGACGGAGGGGUGGAAUGGCCUGGGGUGCUGCGGGAAAUGGGGCAAAGCCAGGACCUGGCUAUUGCACCCCAUGCCGUAUAACCUGGCACCAGACCGUGUCACCUCCUUGCAGGGACCUCCUGGAGAAGCCGGCUAUGACGGUGUGGACGGGGAGCAGGUGAGCUGUGCAGUGGCACAUUGCACCAGCCAGCCGGUGCAACCACCCCUCCAUCCCGGCACAGACACCCAAGUGGGACCAGGCACGGGCACAGCCUCCUCUCUCCCCCCCAGGGUGAAGCGGGGACCCCCGGCCGCCCCGGAGAGAAGGGGUCCCGGGGGAGGCAGGUACGGCACUGCACGGCUGAGCCUCGGCGAAGCGCUGCCUCCUUCGCCCACCGCCUGGUUGCUAAAUCCCUUCCUCCUGCCUUCACUUAGGGGCGGAAAGGUUCCCGGGGUGCCCGGGGGGAGAAGGGUCCCCCAGGCCCUUGCGGCGAGGUGGUGAGUAACGGGCUCGCAGCCCCGCGGCUCCGUGGGGUGCUGGGAGGCUCGCUGAGCACCCAUCUCUGCUCCCCAGGGGCCACCCGGGAGGACAAGCCCCGAGCCCGGCACCCCAGGGUGGAGAGGAGAUGGGGGUCCCCAGGUAAGGUCUGGCAGGGGCCAGGACCAUGCUCGGGGAUGCCGGGUGGCAGCAGUGGAGCAGGCGGCCGGCAGGACCCUUUUGGGGAUGAGAGGUGCAGAUAGGACAGCCAGGAGCUCUGCUUCCCUCUCAACGCCCAUGAUUUCCAGGGAGACCCCGGCCAGGAGGGUCCCCCGGGGCCAGCGGGGCCCCCGGGUCCCCCUGCUCACCCGGUAGGUGCCGCGGGCAGGGGGGCACGGAGGUCCACGCCGGGUGCCCCAGUGCCACGUGCCCCUGUCGUGGGGACACGGCGGCUGAUGGCACUUUCCUCCACAGACCUCAUGCCAGAAAGGGCAGCAGGGAGUGCAGGUAGGGCUGGCAGAGCCCAGGGAUGCGGGGGUCCGUCUGCCCUGGGGACCGGGGACAUCUCCCCGCUGGAGCCUGAGCCGUCCUGUCUCCCUGCAGGGCAAGAAGGGGAACCGUGGCAGCCCCGGCCCCGGGGGACAGAAGGGCUACGGAGGUGCCCAGGUAAGGCCAGGGCAGACCCCGCUGGCACCGGGACGCCCAGGUGGGCAUCGCCGCUGCCCCCUCCAUUCUCCCUUUGCAGGGGCUGCCGGGGCUGCGGGGGACGAACGGUGUCACCGGUCACCCGGGGCGCAGAGGACUUCAGGUGCCAUCCCCCUCCCAGUGCUGGGGUCCUUGGUGGGUGCCGGUGGCCACCCCAAGCUGGUGGCCGUGCCAGUGGGUGCCCAACCCACAGGUGCUUCCCAGCAUCCGUGAUCCGCCUUUGCCUUUCACCUAGGGUCUGCCUGGAGCCGAGGGCUCCCAGGGAGCGGCCGGACCAGCUGGUCCCAAAGGGGACAAGGUGAGGGAUACCACGGCACGGCAUUUCACCGCGUCCCCUGUGCACCCCCAGCCUGCAGCCCUGCUUUCUCUUCCAGGGGCAGGCAGGAGACAAGGGCAAGAAGGGGAGCGUGGGACCGCGGGGACCCAAGGGCACCCUGGUAAGGCUGUGUCCCUCGGGGCCGUGGCAUCCUCCCCAGGGGCACUGCAGCAGUGGAAGGCAUGGAAAAGGGGUGGCCAAAGAAGCUUUGGGAAGAGGGGUGUUUGUGUAGGUCCUACAAUAAUCUGCUUUGGGAUUUUUCUCCCCUCCCAGGGUGAGAACGGGUGUGACCGGAGAGGUGCUCCAGGAAGGAAGGGUGACAAGGUACCGGCAGCACAGAGCAGGGAUGGAGGCGGGUGGGAUGAGCGUGGGGCAGAGCUCCGUCCCUGCCCGUGGGGCUGCCGGGGGUCCCGACCCCGCUCAUGUGUGAUGCUUCCCCCAGGGCGCUCGGGGCCUGCUGGGAUACCCCGGGGCUCAGGUGAGUGCGUGGGGGGCCAGGAGGGGACAUGGGGACCUGACCAGGGCCGGCCAGUCUACGCUGUGGGCUGCUGGUAAGGACACGGUCAGCUUCCUCCGAGUGUCCCCCCCAGGGUGAUGGGGGUGAGAGAGGAUCCCCAGGGGACAAGGGUGCACGAGGGAUGCCCGGGCGCAGGGUGAGUAUGGGGCAGCCCCCUCCCCGCUCCCCCCUGCCGUGCCCACCCGCUCAACUCCUCGGGGUUUUCCAGGGCGAUACCGGGAGCAGAGGAGAAGCAGGCGGCCGCGGCAGUGCGGGACCUCCGGGAGAGAUGGUGACUCCCUGCAAAUUCCCUUUUUCCUACCACAUUUCUGCAACCAUCCCGUGUUGUGCAAAGAGCGGGGAAGCCCCGGUGCUCGGGGAUGUGUUCCCUGUUCAUAUUUCCUCUUUAUUUCUCUCCUCUCCCGCUGCUCCAGGGCCCAAAGGGCUCGCCAGGCAUUCCCCCCUCCACGGUACGGGAUGCUGGCGUAGGGCCGGCUGGGGAUGGGGACCCGGCCUCGAGGGGUGUCCUCGGGGGACAGAGAGGAGCUCGGUGGCCGCCUGGCCCCAGCAAGCCUUGCUGGGUUUGCUGGGAAGAGCUGGGUGGGAGAGCUGGGACUGACGCCGCUUUGUGCAUCCCUCCAGCCUUGCGAGCUCAAGGCUUUCAUCCGCCGGAGCUGUGGUGAGAGCCUGGGAUAGCGGCGGGGAUGGCAAGGAGGGGAUGGGGACCGGCUCGGUG